rnacentral:pre_miRNA from 1 species
AAAGACUGUCCUGUUACUAAGUACUAGUGCCGCAGGAGUACAUUCGACCUCCUGCUGCUCAAGUGCUUAUCAAUGGGCACAGAAUGA